AUAUUCCAAUAUCCGAUUUCUAGAAAACCGGCAAAAUUCGUGAAUAUCCGCCCGAUAUUUUCGAUUUUUUCACCUAUGGCUAGAACAAUGUACAAUUAAACGGCCACACACGGAGCUCUGGAACUAGCACACCAGCUACACCGGGGUCACAUCAUUGUUGAAUCUAACUCCCUUUUUGUUGUAAAUACCCUAUCAAGUAACUGCCAUAUAGUUGGAAGUUCAGGACAUUAUUCAAGAUUCUAAAAAGCUAUGUACUGGAAAGAAGGCGAUUUUUGGACACACAUGGCAGAAGCAAAUCAAGCUGCCAAUCUACUUGCAAAACGGGCAUUCAAAGGAAAAGGAUCAGGGAAUUGGUUUUUGUCGAUCACCUGCCCCCACUUAGGCUAUGUGUUGUUCAUGGAUGGUCUAUGUACAUCUUUCCCCAGGGGUGGUUUCUAGUACUCAGUCAGAAUGCUAUGUAAAUAUCAUGUAUGUAGUCUGAAUAAAACUGUAAGGUCGUCAGGAGGUGUAUAUACAAUGGCAACAGCCUGACUGAUGUAAAAUGUUUCAGAAAUCUCUACCUUUUGUUUGAAAAAAAAAAAAGAUAUUUGUAAUUUCUGAACUACAUAUGUGAAUGAAUCAUUUACGA
rnacentral:lncRNA from 1 species